rnacentral:misc_RNA from 2 species
AACGCACCUUGCGCUCUCUGGUAUUCCGGGGAGCAUGCCUGUUUGAGAAUCGCAAAGCAACACAAAUCAUAUUCUUGUUUUGAAAUAUUUUUCGGAAUAUUUUGGGCCUCGAAUGUGGAGUUGAGCCUUUAUUCUCUUUCUCUUCACGGGGAGAGGGAUGGCUUGAAAUACAGAAGGACGGGGUCUGGGUUAAACCAGGCUUUACCGGGUCAAGCAAUUAUACGUGAGCAAUAAUAGUUAAUGCUUGAAAUAUAGCGUUAUUCUUUUGUUCCGUGUCUGAUCUGGGCGUUCGUCGUCCUCACACUUUCUCUUUUCCUCGGAAAAGGGAGGGGAAACUAUGUUAAUGACGAAGCUAAAAGGCUUGCCUUUUCUUCCGACCUCUUAGAUCUCAAAUCAGGCAAGAGUACCCGCUGAACUUAA